AGAGUUUGAUCCUGGCUCAGGACGAACGCUGGCGGCGUGCUUAACACAUGCAAGUCGAACGGAAAGGCCCUUCGGGGUACUCGAGUGGCGAACGGGUGAGUAACACGUGGGUGAUCUGCCCUGCACUCUGGGAUAAGCCUGGGAAACUGGGUCUAAUACCGGAUAGGACCGCAUGCUUCAUGGUGUGUGGUGCAAAGCUUUUGCGGUGUGGGAUGAGCCCGCGGCCUAUCAGCUUGUUGGUGGGGUAAUGGCCUACCAAGGCGACGACGGGUAGCCGGCCUGAGAGGGUGACCGGCCACACUGGGACUGAGAUACGGCCCAGACUCCUACGGGAGGCAGCAGUGGGGAAUAUUGCACAAUGGGCGCAAGCCUGAUGCAGCGACGCCGCGUGAGGGAUGACGGCCUUCGGGUUGUAAACCUCUUUCAGUAGGGACGAAGCGAAAGUGACGGUACCUACAGAAGAAGGACCGGCCAACUACGUGCCAGCAGCCGCGGUAAUACGUAGGGUCCGAGCGUUGUCCGGAAUUACUGGGCGUAAAGAGCUCGUAGGUGGUUUGUCGCGUUGUUCGUGAAAACUCACAGCUUAACUGUGGGCGUGCGGGCGAUACGGGCAGACUAGAGUACUGCAGGGGAGACUGGAAUUCCUGGUGUAGCGGUGGAAUGCGCAGAUAUCAGGAGGAACACCGGUGGCGAAGGCGGGUCUCUGGGCAGUAACUGACGCUGAGGAGCGAAAGCGUGGGUAGCGAACAGGAUUAGAUACCCUGGUAGUCCAA
rnacentral:rRNA from 1 species